rnacentral:rRNA from 1 species
GACGAACGCUGGCGGCGUGCUUAACACAUGCAAGUCGAACGGAAGGGCCCUGCUUUUGUGGGGUGCUCGAGUGGCGAACGGGUGAGUAACACGUGAGUAACCUGCCCUUGACUUUGGGAUAACUUCAGGAAACUGGGGCUAAUACCGGAUAGGAGCUCCUGCUGCAUGGUGGGGGUUGGAAAGUUUCGGCGGUUGGGGAUGGACUCGCGGCUUAUCAGCUUGUUGGUGGGGUAGUGGCUUACCAAGGCUUUGACGGGUAGCCGGACUGAGAGGGUGACCGGCCACAUUGGGACUGAGAUACGGCCCAGACUCCUACGGGAGGCAGCAGUGGGGAAUAUUGCACAAUGGGCGGAAGCCUGAUGCAGCAACGCCGCGUGCGGGAUGACGGCCUUCGGGUUGUAAACCGCUUUCGCCUGUGACGAAGCGUGAGUGACGGUAAUGGGUAAAGAAGCACCGGCUAACUACGUG